rnacentral:rRNA from 1 species
CCUACGGGGGACAGCAGUGAGGAAUAUUGGUCAAUGGACGAGAGUCUGAACCAGCCAAGUAGCGUGAAGGAUGACUGCCCUAUGGGUUGUAAACUUCUUUUAUAUGGGAAUAAAAUGUUCCACGUGUGGGAUUUUGUAUGUACCAUAUGAAUAAGGAUCGGCUAACUCCGUGCCAGCAGCCGCGGUAAUACGGAGGAUCCGAGCGUUAUCCGGAUUUAUUGGGUUUAAAGGGAGCGUAGGUGGAUUGUUAAGUCAGUUGUGAAAGUUUGCGGCUCAACCGUAACAUUGCAGUUGAAACUGGCAGUCUUGAGUGCAGUAGAGGUGGGCGGAAUUCGUGGUGUAGCGGUGAAAUGCUUAGAUAGAACGAAGAACUCCGAUUGCGAAGGCAGUUCACUGGACUGCAACUGACACUGAGGCUCGAAAGUGUGGGUAUCAAACAGGAUUAGAUACCCCGGUAGUC